GAGAUACUCCCUCCGUCCCAAAAUUCUUGUCUUAGAUUUGUUUAAAUACGGAUGUAUCAAGUCACGUUUUAGUAUUAGAUACAUCCGUAUCUAGACGAAUCUAAGACAAGAAUUUUGGAAUGGAGGGAGUAGUAG
rnacentral:pre_miRNA from 1 species